rnacentral:lncRNA from 1 species
AGCUGCUUUCGUCAACAGAGGUGUGCAUCCGCAAGACUGUUCUUCAUCCUCUUUGCUGGCUAGUUGGUGCGACUCCUGAAACAUUCGGCGGCACAUCGUCGAAGCUGACCUUACUCCCAGGAGUGGUUUCCGCCUGCUCUUCAGCCUUGUGUAGAACCGAAAGAAAAGUGUAAAAAGGAACAGGUGUUGUUGCCUCUUUUUUCUUCUCUUUUGCAAAGUAGCUUGAUAUGUUUCCCCCAAUAUCUUUAGGUCGUUAGGAUAUUUGGUCUUGGUUUCCCGGUGGUUGCACAGUUUUUUUUUUUGGGCUCUCCAGAAGUUCCACGGAUACUUAACAGGCAUUGUUAACCACUCAACUUUGCAAAAGAAAUGAACAUUUGAAAUCCCAUCAUUGUAUUUCUGAUUUCUAAUAGUACUCAUAUGCCGAUAAAUAAAAUACUAAUAUUCAACACUAACUUCUAACGGAUUGCUAUAGCACACGUAAGUGCCAUUUUUUUUUUGAGUCGGCACACGUUUUUUUUUUAGUCCUUGAGUUGGCACACGUAAGUACUGCGGUGCUGUGAGGGAGGAAUGCUUGCUAAGCCGGAAAAAAAGCCCAUGCCUCGGGCUGGGUCGCAACUUGCCUGCUCCCGUCUCCCGAACCAGCCCUCCUUUCUCUCUGAGAUCCUCUGUGUCUUACGUACAUCUGAUGUUCUACAUGUGCAGUCUGGUUGCAGGGCCUCUUUUAGUACGCAAGAUUUUGAAAACAUAGAAAUAAGGGAAAAAACAAGAAUAUGUAUAAAUAAACGAAAAUGAUAAAUCUCAAACGUUUGGGAUUUGACCAUGGCAAAUCGAUCGUUUGUUGUAUGACAAUUUUAGUGACGUGAGGAUGAUAAGUUUAGUUGACUCAUAAGGCAAUUUUCUGGCAAAAAAUACACUGAGCACGGAUUUGCUAUGAAUGUUCGGGUGUUGGGUCCUAAACAGGUGUGUAAAGCAGAGUAUUGAACACAUGGGAAUUUUGCAACCGUGUGUGUUUGGUUCAUAGGAAUAGGAAGAUACACAUGAAUCAUGAUAAACACAGUCAAAUCACAUGAAAAAAACUAUAAUUAGGAUGUUGUGUCGUCUAAAAGAAAAAAAAGGAUGUUACUGUGUCACUAAAGGUCACAUCUCGUAUUUUGUGUGUAUGAAUUCUAGAAAAGGGUCCUAAGUGGAUUGUAAAUUCUUCUUUCUUCAAAACUGAGAUGAGAGGAAAUUUUCAUCAAUUUUUCAUUUGUUACACUCUUCCGAACUAACCGUAUGAACCAUGUCAUCAAAAGAAAAUAUUCAUUCAUUGUUCCUAUAAACCAAAGAGGCCCUUAACUUUUGCUAGGACAAUUACCUUUCCGUGGCUUGAUUUUUUUAUUCUUCAAAACUGAUUGAGUGUUUCAGCACAUAAUGUUUUCUGAUACAAUUUUUCUGUAGCAUAACAUUAUACCACAAUCGUUGCGGCAAUUUGAUUAUCAUAUGCAUAGAGUGUUCCAAUCAUGGGGUAUCUCGUCGUACUGAUUUCUGUUUUUCCUUCCAUCAAUCAAUCAAAAAGAAAAAGGUAUCGAUAUGGGUUCGGGUCGUACUCAUAGGGCCACGGCCCGAAUGCCAUGCAAAUACGUACCGCUGCCUAUCCAGUUUAAUCACCCACGCGCGCUGCGCCUGGCGCACACUACUACCGGCAGCGUUGUUCAUGCACGAUUUUUCUUUUGGAUCAAUGCAUGCAUGAUUGAAUGCAUGGGCGUUCACGUACGUAUUUGUUGCAUACCGCGCCCUGUCUUUCCAGCUUGUCAAUCGUCGUUGGCUUGAACCAGGGUUGCCUCAAGGGUUUUUCCCCGGAAAACUAGGAGCCCUCGUUACGGGCGGCUAGGGUUUCGGUGGAGACGGAGGCGGCCGCUGUCAUCUCGCCGGCGGGUCGCAACACUCCUAGGGUUGAGGAUGGCCUCGUCCUCGGAUCCCAGCAAGGGGAAGCAAGGGGCUGCGCCGGACAGGUCGGCGAGGGCUCAGAUGGAAGAAGCCAUGGGUAGAUUGGAUCUCACAGAGGAGGAAGCCAGCCCCCUGGUAGUGGACGAUCUUGAGGAAGGACCGCAACAGAAGUGGGCGAUUGCUGGGAAAAUUCUGCACCGCAAAGUAUUCCACAUCCAGACGAUCGCAAACGCAUUGAGGCCGGCUUGGGGAAACCCUAGGGGUUUGUUCUUCAGGCCAGCAGGAGAGAAUAUUUUCGUGGCGGAGUUUGAAAAUCGCCGCGAUCACGAUCGUGUGCGUGAAGGAUCUCCGUGGCACGUCAGUAGGCACGUAGUGAUUCUAACUGAUUUCGAUGACAGCAUGCGUCCGUCGGGGCUCAGUUUCGACAAGCUUCAAUUGUGGGUUAGGGUUCUAAACCGUCCCUUCAACAUGCAGAACGAAGUCAGGGGACUGGCGGUGGCCAAGCAAAUUGACAAUACUUUGGCGUCAGUACAGUUUGAUCCUGUUGGGGGGUUUCUCAGAGCACAUGUGACUAUUGAUGUAUCAAAACCCCUGCGACGUUGGAUCUUGAUUGAUUCUGCAAAGAGAAAGAGUAGAGAUUGGUACGAUGUGUAGUAUGAACAUGUGCCAAAUUUCUGUUUCUCGUGUGGUCGUCUUGGCCACGCUGAUAUGGUUUGUCCUACACCUGGUACCCGAGAUGAGAAAGGAGAUUUGCCGUUCAACACGAGUCUGCGAGCACCGGAGGAUAGCAAACCUAGUGGCUCAGGGGAUAGCUCAUCAAAGGACCAUCAGAGCUCUAACAAUAGUAGGACUGAUGCGGCUGCCCAAAAGAAUAAGGCAAGUGGAUCAGCUGAGGUUACCUCCCCCAGGAAGAAUCGAGAGAACUUCAAUAAGCAUAAGGGAGGCCCCCAGCAGAAUCAAGUCUACCGUAGGGUGGAGAGUUUUGCUUUGGCAAAUUCUGGUAAGGAACAAACUGACAAAACAGCAGCAGCGCCAAUGGAUAUGGUUUUGUUCAAUGCAAAGGGCAGGAUAAUUCAGAAGGAACUGAAGGUCGGGGCGAAGCUUCGGUAGAACCUGAUGCAAAGAAAAAGAAACCAACGCCUCCAACAUCUGAAGACUCGGCAGCGGCUGCUAGUCAGCCUUGCCGGGGCCAAUGAAUUAUCUAAGCUGGAACUGCCGGGGGCUUGGGAACCCCGAGGCAGUUCGAGAGCUUCGCAAGAUUGUGAAGCAAGAAGGGCCUUCCCUGGUUUUUGUUAUGGAGACAAAGAUUAGGGCGACAAGGGUGGAGAAUCUAAAGCAUUCACUUGGGUUUGCGGGAUGUUUCGCGGUUGAUAGUACUGGUCUCAGUGGUGGAAUUGGAUUGUUUUGGUCCAAGGAUGUAACGAUUGAACUAAAAAACUUCAGUUCUAGUCAUAUAGAUGUUAUGGUCCGGAAAGCUGAUGGUACUGCUCCGGCAUGGAGAUUUACCGGGUUCUAUGGAGCCCCAAGAAGUGAGGAAAGGCAUCACAGUUGGAGGUGUUUACGCACACUGCAUGCUAUUCAACAUCAGGCAUGGUUGUGUGUCGGCGGUUUUAACGAGACGGCGUACGGCACCGAGCACUUCAGUCGCGCUGCUAGGCCGGAGUGGCAGAUGCGUGCGUUUCGGGAGGUGUUGGAGGACUGCUCUUUGCAGGACUUGGGCUUCUCUGGUGUACCUUUUACAUGGGAUAAUAGACAGGCAGGUGGUCUUAAUGUGAAAGCCCGCCUUGAUCGUGCUGUAGCAAAUGCUGAGUUUCUACAACGUAAUGAGAAUUCACGUGUACGCCAUAUUAGUUCUGUAGAAUCAUACCAUUGCUUUGUUUUGAUUGAAACUCGUGAUUCAUUGAAUAAAGGGGGACCACGACAGUUUCGAUAUGAGAAUGUGUGGCAGACUCAUGCUGACUAUGAUAGUGUUGUGAUGGAUAUGUGGCGUCGGAACCAUACUGGGCAGGGUCUUGCAUCGAUAUCGGCUACUUUGCAAUGUAUGCAGAGGGAGCUGGGGUCUUGGGGGGCACAAGAGUUCGGCUGCCUCGCAAAGACAGUAAGGAAACUUCAGAAAAAACUUGAAAUACUCCGAAAACAGUCGGUUGGGAGAGGGCCCACCGAGGAGGAGAAAGUAACGGUGGUUAAACUGCGGGAGGCACUCCGGCAGGAGGAAGUAUGGAUGAGACAGAGAUCGAGGGUGCCGUGGCUGCGACAGGGUGAUCGGAACACAAAAUACUACCAGGCUCAAGCAGCCCAGAGGAAACGUAUGAACAGAAUUUCUAACCUUCAGAGAGCUGACGGCACAAUGUGUGCUACUGAAGAGGAAGAUAAAACCGAGAUUCAGUCGUUCUAUCAAGCAUUAUUUACGACUCAAGGCUUCCAUGAGAUGGAUGAACUGCUGCAAUAUGUUCCUGAACGGGUGUCUAUGGAGAUGAACACCUCCCUGGAUAAACCCUUCGAGGCUGAUGAAGUGAAGACGACAUUGUUUCAGAUGUCACCGUCCAAAGCGCCGGGUGUGGAUGGAUUCACUGUGGGUUUUUUUCCAGAGGCAUUGGGAAGUUAUUAAAGAUGAUCUGGUGCCAGCUAUUCUGGACUUUGUUAAUGGAGGGGAGAUUCCGUCGGGAUUUAACAAUACGUCAAUUACUCUUAUACCCAAGGUACGGAACCCCCAGUCUAUCUCAUAAUACCGUCCUAUAUCCUUGUGUCCGGUUCCCUAUAAAAUUGCUUCGAAGAUGAUCACCAAUCGUCUCAAGCUUUUGAUGGAUAUAGUUGUGGGGGAGGAACAGAGUGCGUUUGUUCCCGGUCGCCUAAUCACGGAUAACGUACUUGUGGCUUUUGAAAGCGUACAUACGAUGAGGAGAAGAAAGAAGGGGAAAAAAUAUUCGUGUGCAGUUAAGUUAGACAUGAUGAAGGCCUACGAUCGAAUGGAGUGGCAUUAUUCGGAAGCAAUCAUGUUGAAACUUGGCUUCAGUGCAACUUUUGUGAGGUUGAUUAUGAAGUGUGUCUCAUGGGUGAGAUACACCGUUCGUGUUAAUGGCGAGUUGAUGCCUUUUUUCACCCCCUCAAGGGGAUUUCAGCAGGGGACCCAGUCUCACCCUUCUUGUUCCUGCUUUGUGCGGAAGGGCUGACAUCUUUACUAAAGUUUUAUGGAGGAGGCCACAUUGACAGAGGUAUACGCGUGUCGUACAGAGCUCCAUGGGUCAACCAUCUUUUGUUCGCCGAUGAUUGCUUAGUCUUUAUCAGCGCAACAACAGAAAGUGCGGAUAGACUGAAUAGAAUUUUACUCAUCUAUGCUUCCUGCUCGGGGCAGUCAGUCAAUCGCGAGAAGAGUGCUGUGUUCUUUUCUCCUAAUACACCUGCUAGUAGAAGAGAAGCUCUCAAACAAAUUCUUGGCGUUUUGGUGGAAGCUUUCAGUGACAGAUACUUGGGUCUCCCGACCGCGGUCGGGAGGAUCACUAGUGGUACGUUUGAUCAUAUCAGGGAGAGCUCACGUAGCAAAAUGAAUGGAUGGGCGGAACAGCUGCUAGCUUGUGCGGGCAGAGAGAUUCUUAUAAAAUCAGUGAUCCAGGCCAUUCCUACUUUUAGUAUGAGCUACUUCCUAUUGACUAAGAAGGUAUGCAAAAAGUUGACAUCUUGCAUGGCAAAAUUCUGGUGGAGCGGUUCCCUUGAUAGACGAUCUUUGCACUGGAUAUCAUGGGACAGUCUCGCAUCCCCAAAGGUUAACGGUGGUAUGGGUUUCCGAGAUCUACCAUUGUUUAACUUGGCAUUACUUGGGAAGCAUGGGUGGAGGUUCAUUACAAAUCCGGGAUCCCUGUGCAGCCGCGUUAUGAAGGGUCGCUAUUUUCCUGAUGGAGAGUUCAUGGAUGCUGUGGUGCCACGCUCGUCGUUGGCUGUAUGGUGGGCCAUUGUUGCUGGCCGUGAAGCUCUCCAGGAAGGACUUGUGAAGCGUGUGGGGACGGGUUCUACCAUCUCCAUAUGGGAAGACAAAUGGAUUCCGGGAUUGUCAACUCUUCAACCGACAGUCAUACCGGGGGACACUACUCUGUCCUGUGUGAGUGAACUUAUAGAUGAAGAGAACUGGACAUGGAAGAGGGACUUGAUUCGGGAUUUUUUUAUUCCCCCUGAAGCGGAAGCAAUACCAAAUAUACCACUUCGUAAUGGCGGCGGGGAGGAUUUUUGUAACAUCCCAAAUUUUCAAUUUGGAAUGUUAUACAUUACAUCAUUAUGCAUAACAUAUUUUAUUGCAUUUUGUUUUGCGAUCCUAGAAAUUCUACGCAACUCGAGGACCCACGGAGAGAGUUGGGGAUUUCGUUAUUUUCAUAUUUUGGGUUUUCUCAAAUUAUGAAAAUAGGAUCAUUUGUUUUAAUUAUUUUUCUCUCCGAAAAUAUUUCAUAUCAAAAUAUAUGAGAGGGGAUAAAAUGACUUCUCCACAAAUAAUGAAAUAUUGGAGGAAAAAUAUUAAAAAAACAAAUAUUUGAUUUUAUUUGGAUUUUAUUUGAUUAUUAUUUGAAUUAGGAAAAAUACGCAUUUUUCAAAAUUGCAUUUAGGCCCCAAAUAAAUGUUCAUCUUGUCCGGCUUGAUUUUAGAAGUCGGGGAAAAUUUGUUUCAGGAUUUUUGGAGUCCGUUUAGUAUUUCUUUUAUUUGUUUUUCUACGCGAAAUUAUUAAAAAAAACGCGAACCGACCUUGGGCCGUAUUCGUCCAGGACUCCGCCCGGCCAGGCCUUUAUAAGGCGCCGCCCCGAGCCCGUCAGCCCACCCGAGCCCNNNNNNNNNNNNNNNNNNNNNNNNNNNNNNNNNNNNNNNNNNNNNNNNNNNNNNNNNNNNNNNNNNNNNNNNNNNNNNNNNNNNNNNNNNNNNNNNNNNNNNNNNNNNNNNNNNNNNNNNNNNNNNNNNNNNNNNNNNNNNNNNNNNNNNNNNNNNNNNNNNNNNNNNNNNNNNNNNNNNNNNNNNNNNNNNNNNNNNNNNNNNNNNNNNNNNNNNNNNNNNNNNNNNNNNNNNNNNNNNNNNNNNNNNNNNNNNNNNNNNNNNNNNNNNNNNNNNNNNNNNNNNNNNNNNNNNNNNNNNNNNNNNNNNNNNNNNNNNNNNNNNNNNNNNNNNNNNNNNNNNNNNNNNNNNNNNNNNNNNNNNNNNNNNNNNNNNNNNNNNNNNNNNNNNNNNNNNNNNNNNNNNNNNNNNNNNNNNNNNNNNNNNNNNNNNNNNNNNNNNNNNNNNNNNNNNNNNNNNNNNNNNNNNNNNNNNNNNNNNNNNNNNNNNNNNNNNNNNNNNNNNNNNNNNNNNNNNNNNNNNNNNNNNNNNNNNNNNNNNNNNNNNNNNNNNNNNNNNNNNNNNNNNNNNNNNNNNNNNNNNNNNNNNNNNNNNNNNNNNNNNNNNNNNNNNNNNNNNNNNNNNNNNNNNNNNNNNNNNNNNNNNNNNNNNNNNNNNNNNNNNNNNNNNNCCCCGCCGCCCCACCCGCCGGACCCCGCUACCCCACGCCGGAGGUAGCCGCCGCCCCCGCCGCCGGCGGUUUUCCUCGAGAGAACCGUACGGUUUUUCGUUCGGUUUUGUUAAAAAAACCUAGAUCUGUUUUUUUUCGGUUUCGUUUAUUUAGCAGACGUUCGUCCGUACGUUCAUUUUAACGAACGAUUUUCAUUUUUUUCGCAGGCAGCAAACGUGUUGGGGAACGUAGCAGAAAUUCAAAAUUUUCUACGCAUCACCAAGAUCAAUCUAUGGAGUAAUCUAGCACCGAGGGGAAGGAGAGUGCAUCUUCAUACCCUUGAAGAUCGCGAUGCGGAAGCGUUGCAAGAACGCGGAUGAAGGAGUCGUACUCGUAGCGAUUCAGAACGCGGUUGAUUCCGAUCUAAGCGCCGAACCACGGCGCCUCCGUGUUCAACACACGUGCAGCCCGGUGACGUCUCCCACGCCUUGAUCCAGCAAGGAAAGAGGGAGAGGUUGGGGAAGACUCCGUCCAGCAGCAGCACAACGGCAUGGUGGUGGUGGAGGAGCGUGGCACUCCAGCAGGGCUUCGCCAAGCACCGCAAGAGACGAGGAGGGAGAGGGGUAGGGCUGCGAUAUGAGGGAGAUGUUCUCGUGUGUAUGGCAGCCCCAAACCCCCACUAUAUAUAGGGGAAAGGGAGGGGCUGCGACCCCACCUAGGUUUCCACCUCUAGGGGUGGCGGCCAGCCCUAGAUGGGACUUGGAGGGGCGGCCAAGGGGGGAGAGAGGGGGGGCGCACCACUAGGUGGGCCUUAGGCCCAUCUGAGCCUAGGGUUUCCCCUUUUCCCUUCUCUCUUCACCUUGGGCCUUGGUGGGGGGGGCGCACCAGCUCACCUGGGGCUGGUCCCCUCCCACACUUGGCCCACGCAGCCCUCUGGGGCCGGUGGCCCCACCUGGUGGACCCCCGGGACCCUCCCGGUGGUCCCGGUACAUUACCGAUAGCACCCGAAACUUUUCCGGUGACGAAAACAGGACUUCCCAUAUAUAAAUCUUUACCCCCGGACCAUUCCGGAACUCCUCGUGACGUCCGGGAUCUCAUCAGGGACUCCAAAAAACAUUCGGUAACCACGUAUAUCUAUUCCCUAUAACCCUAGCGUCAUCGAACCUUAAGUGUGUAGACCCUACGGGUUCGGGAACCAUGCAGACAUGACCGAGACGUUCUCCGGCCAAUAACCAACAGCGGGAUCUGGAUACCCAUGUUGGCUCCCACAUGUUCCACGAUGAUUUCAUCGGAUGAACCACGAUGUCGGGGAUUCAAUCAAUCCCGUAUACAAUUCCCUUUGUCAAUCGGUAUGUUACUUGCCGGAGAUUCGAUCGUCGGUAUCCCGAUACCUUGUUCAAUCUCGUUACCGGCAAGUCUCUUUACUCGUUCCGUAACACAUCAUCCCGUGAUCAUCUCCUUGGUCACAUUGUGCACAUUAUGAUGAUGUCCUACCGAGUGGGCCCAGAGAUACCUCUCCGUUUACACGGAGUGACAAAUCCCAGUCUCGAUUCGCGCCAACCCAACAGACACUUUCGGAGAUACCUGUAGUGUACCUUUAUAGCCACCCAGUUACGUUGUGACGUUUGGUACACCCAAAGCAUUCCUACGGUAUCCGGGAGUUGCACAAUCUCAUGGUCUAAGGAAAUGAUACUUGACAUUAGAAAAGCUCUUAGCAAAUGAACUACACGAUCUUGUGCUAGGCUUAGGAUUGGGUCUUGUCCAUCACAUCAUUCUCCUAAUGAUGUGAUCCCGUUAUCAACGACAUCCAAUGUCCAUGGUCAGGAAACCGUAACCAUCUAUUGAUCAACGAGCUAGUCAACUAGAGGCUUACUAGGGACAUGGUGUUGUCUAUGUAUCCACACAUGUAUCUGAGUUUCCUAUCAAUACAAUUUUAGCAUGGAUAAUAAACGAUUAUCAUGAACAAGGAAAUAUAAUAAUAAUAACCAAUUUAUUAUUGCCUCUAGGGCAUAUUUCUAACAGUCUCCCACUUGCACUAGAGUCAAUAAUCUAGUUCACAUCGCCAUGUGAUUAAUACCCAAGAGUUUACUAGAGUCAAUAAUCUAGUUCACAUCACCAUGUGAUUGUAAUGAAUCCAACACCCAUGGGGUUUGUUCAUAUCUCGCUUGUGAGAGAGGUUAUUAGUCAAUGGGUCUGAACCUUUCAGAUCCGUGUGUGCUUUACGAAUAUCUAUGUCAUCUUGUAGAUGCAGCUACCACGCGCUACUUGGAGCUAUUCCAAAUAACUGCUCUACUAUACGAACCCGGUUUACUACUCAGAGUCAUCCGGAUUAGUGUCAAAGUUUGCAUUGACGUAACCCUUUACGACGAACUCCUUUUCCACCUCCAUAAUCGAGAAAAUUUCCUUAGUCCACUAGAUACUAAGGAUAAGUUCGACCGCUGUCAUGUGAUCCAUUCCCGGAUCACUAUUGUACCCCUUGACUAACUCAUGGCAAGGCACACUUCAGGUGCGGUACACAGCAUAGCAUACUGAAGAUCCUACGUCUUAAGCAUAGGGGACGACCUUCGUCCUUUCUCUCUCUUCUGCCGUGGUCAGGUCUUGAGUCUUACUCAAUACUCACACCUUGUAACACAGCCAAGAACUCCUUCUUUGCUGAUCUAUUUUGAACUCCUUCAAAAUCUUGUCACGGUACGUAUUCAUUUGAAAGUACUAUUAAGCAUUUUAGAUCCAUCCUUAUAGAUCUUGAUGCUCAAUGUUCAAGUAGCUUAAUCCAGGUUUUCCAUUGAAAAACACUUUUCAAAUAACCCUGUAUGCUCAUCAAAAAUUCUCAUAAACUUUGGAAAUAUGUCAACAACAUAUACUCAUCAAAAAUUCAAUAGUGCUCCCACUCACUUCUUUGGAAAUAUAAGUUUCUCAUAAACUUUGUAUAAACCCAAAAUCUUUGAUCAUCUCAUCAAAGCGUAUAUUCCAACUCCGAGAUGCUUACUCCAGUCCUUAGAAGGAUUGCUGGAGCUUUGCAUACUUGUUAGCAUCUUUCAGGAUUGACAAAACCUUCUGGUUGUAUCACAUACAACCUUUCCUCAAGAAAAUCGUCGAGGAAACAAUGUUUUGACAUCCUAUCUGCAAGAUUUCAUAAAUAAUGCAGUAACUGCUAAUAUAAUUCCAACAGACUCUUAGCAUUGCUACGAGUGAGAAAAUCUCAUCGUAGUCAACUCCUUGAACUUGUCGAAAAACAUCUUAACGACAAGCCGAGCUUUCUUAGUGGUGACACUUACCAUCAUUGUCUGUCUUCCUUUUAAAAUCCAUCUGUACCCAACAGCCUUACGACCAUCAAGUAGUUCUUUCAAAGUCUAUACUUUGUUUUUAUACAUGGAUCCUCUCUCGGAUUUUAUGGCCUCGAGCCAUUCGUCGGAAUCCGGGCCCACCAUCGCUUCUCCAUAGCUCGUAGGUUCAUUGUUGUCUACCAACAUGACUUCCAAGGCAGGAUUACGUACCACUCUGAAGUAGUACGCAUCCUUGUCGACCUAUGUGGUUUGGUAGUGACUUGAUCGAAGUUUCAUGAUCACUAUCAUAAGCUUGCACUUCAAUUGGUGUAGGUGCCACAGGAACAACUUCCUGUGCCCUGCUACACACUAGUUGAAGUCAUGGUUCAAUAACCUCAUCAAGUCUCCACCAUCCUCCCACUCAAUUCUUUCGAGAGAAACUUUUCCUCGAGAAAGGACCCGUUUCUAGAAGCAAUUACUUUUGCUUCCAGAUCUGAAAUAGGAGGUAUACCCAACUGUUUUGGGUAUUCUAUGAAGAUGCGUUUAUUCGCUUUGGGUUCGAGCUUAUCAGCCGGAAACUUUUUCACAUAAGCAUCGCAGCCCCAAACUUUUAAGAAACGACAACUUAGGUUUCUCUAAACGGUGUCGUCUCAACGGAAUUGCGUGGUGCCCCUUUUAAAGUGAAUGCGGUUGUCUCUAAUGCCUAACCCAUAAACGAUAGUGGUAAUUCGAUAAGAGACAUCAUGGUAUGCACCAUAUCCAAUAGGGUGCAGUUAUGAUGUUCGGACACACCAUCACACUGUGGUGUUCCAGGCGGUAUUAAUUGUGAAACACUUUCCACAAUGUCUUAAUUGUGUGCCAAACUCGUAACUCAGAUAUCUCUAUGAUCAUAUCAUAGACAUUUUAUCCUCUUGUCAUGACGAUCUUCAACUUCACUCUGAAAUUACUUGAACCUUUCAAUAAUUCAGACUUGUGUUUCAUCAAGUAAAUACACUCAACAUCUACUCAAAUCAUUUGUGAAGUAAGAACAUAACGAUAUCCACUGCGUGCCUCAACACUCAUUGGACUGCACACAUCAAAUGUAUUACUUCCAACAAGUUGCUCUCUUGUUCCAUCUUACUGAAAACGAGGCCUUUCAGUCAUCUUGCCCAUGUGGUAUGAUUUGCAUGUCUCAAGUGAUUCAAAAUCAAGUGAGUCCAAACGAUCCAUCUGCAUGGAGUUUCUUCGUGCAUAUAUACCACUAGACAUGGUUCGCAUGUCUCAAUCUUUUCAAAACGAGUGAGUCCAAAGAUCCAUCUACAUGGAGCUUCUUCAUGCGUUCUAUACCAAUAUGACUCAAAUGGCAGUGCCACAAGUAUGUGGUACUAUCAUUACUAUUUUAUAUCUUUUUGGCACGAACAUGUGUAUCACUGCGAUCGAGAUUCAUUUUAGGUGCAAGACCAUUGAAGGUAUUAUUCAAAUAAACAGAGUAAUCAUUAUUCUCCUUAAAUGAAUAACCGUAUUGCGAUAAACAUAACCCAAUCAUGUUUAUGCUCAACGCAAACACCAAAUAACAAUUAUUUAGGUUUAACACCAAUCUCGAUGGUAGAGGGAGCAUGCGAUGCUUGAUCACAUCAACCUUGGAAACACUUCCAACACAUAUCGUCAUCUCACCUUUAGCUAGUCUCCGUUUAUUCUGCAGCUAUUAUUUCGAGUUACUAACACUUAGCAACCGAACCGGUAUCUAACACCCUGGUGCUACUAGGAGUACUAGUAAAGUACACAUUCAUAUAAUGUAUAUCCAAUAUACUUCUGUCGACCUUGCCUGCCUUCUCAUCUACCAAGUAUCUAGGGCAGUUCUGCUUCAGUGACCGUUUCCCUCAUUACAGAAGCACUUAGUCUCGGGUUUGGGUUCAACCUUGGGAUUCUUCACUAGAGCAGCAAAUGAUUUGCCGUUUCAUGAAGUAUACCUUUUUGCCCUUGCCCUUCUUGAAACUAGUGGUUUUACUAACCAUCAACAAUUGAUGCUCCUAUUUGAUUUCUACUUUUACGGUGUCAAACAUCGCGAAUAGCUCAAGGAUCACCAUAUCUAUCCCUGAUAUGUUAUAGUUCAUCACGAAGCUCUAAUAGCUUGGUGGCAGUGACUAUGGAGAACCAUCACUAUCUCAUUUGGAAGAUUAACUCCCACUCGAUUCAAGCGAUUUUGGUACUCAGACAAUCUGAGCACAUGCUCAACGAUUGAGCUUUUCUCCCUUAGUUUGCAGGCUUAAGAAACUUGUCAGGGGUCUCAUACCUCUUGACGUGGGCACUAGUCUGAAAUCCCAAUUUCAGUCUUCGGAACAUCUCAUAUGUUCUGUGACAUUUCAAAAACGUCUUUGGUGCCACAAUUCUAAACCGUUAGCAUUACGCACUGAACUAUCAUGUAGUCAUCAAAACGUGUAUGCCAGAUGUCUCGCAACAUCUACAGACGACGCUGAGGUUCAGCACACCGAGCGGUGCAUUAAGGACAUAAGCCUUCUGUGCAACAAUGAGGACAAUCCUCAGUUCACGGACCCAGUCCGCAUAAUUGCUACUAUCAACUUUCAACUAAAUUUUCUCUAGGAACAUAUCUUAAACAGUAGAACUAAAGCGUAAGCUAUGACAUAAUUUGCAAAGACCUUUUGACUAUGUUCAUGAUAAUUAAGUUCAUCUAAUUAUUUAAUGAACUCCCACUCAGAUAGACAUCCCUCUAGUCAUCUAAAUGAUACAUGAUCCGAGUCAAACUAGGCCGUGUCCGAUCAUCACGUGAGACGGACUAGUCAUCAUCGGUGAACAUCUCCAUGUUGAUCGCAUCUACUAUACGACUCAUGUUCGACCUUUCGAUCUCUUGUGUUCCGAGGCCAUGUCUGUACAUGCCAGGCUCGUCAAGUCAACCUAAGUGUUUCGCAUGUGUUCCGAGGCCAUGUUUGUACAUGCUAGGCUCGUCAACACCCGUUGUAUUCGAACGUUAGAAUCUAUCACACCCGAUCAUCACGUGGUGCUUCGAAACAACGAACCUUCGCAACGGUGCACAGUUAGGGGGAACACAUCUCUUGAAAUUUUAGUGAGGGAUCAUCUUAUUUAUGCUACCGUCGUUCUAAGCAAAUAAGAUGUAAACAUGACAAACAUCACAUGCAAAUCAUAAAGUGACAUGAUAUGGCCAAUAUCAUCUUGCGCCUUUGAUCUCCAUCUUCGAGGCGCGGCAUGAUCACCUUCGUCACCGGCAUGACACCAUGAUCUCCAUCAUCGUGUCUUCAUGAAGUUGUCUCGCCAACUAUUACUUCUACUACUAUGGCUAACGGUUAGCAAUAAAGUAAAGUAAUUACAUGGCGUUUUUCAAUGACACGCAGGUCAUACAAUAAAUUAAGACAACUCCUAUGGCUCCUGCCGGUUGUCAUACUCAUCGACAUGCAAGUCGUGAUUCCUAUUACAAGAACAUGAUCAAUCUCAUACAUCACAUAUAUCAUUCAUCACAUCCUUUUGGCCAUAUCACAUCACACAGCAUACCCUGCAAAAACAAGUUAGACGUCCUCUAAUUGUUGUUGCAUGUUUUACGUGGCUGCUAUGGGUUUCUAGCAAGAACGUUUCUUACCUACGCAAAAACCACAACGUGAUAUGCCAAUUUCUAUUUACCCUUCAUAAGGACCCUUUUCAUCGAAUCCGAUCCGACUAAAGUGGGAGAGACAGACACCCGCUAGCCACCUUAUGCAACUAGUGCAUGUCAGUCGGUGGAACCUGUCUCACGUAAGUGUACGUGUAAGGUCGGUCCGGGCCGCUUCAUCCCACGAUGCCGCCGAAUCAAGAUAAGACUAGUAACGGCAAGUAAAUUGACCAAAAUCGACGCCCACAACUACUUUGUGUUCUACUCGUGCAUAGAAACUACGCAUAGACCUAGCUCUGAUACCACUGUUGGGGAACGUAGCAGAAAUUCAAAAUUUUCUACGCAUCACCAAGAUCAAUCUAUGGAGUAAUCUAGCACCGAGGGGAAGGAGAGUGCAUCUUCAUACCCUUGAAGAUCGCGAUGCGGAAGCGUUGCAAAAACGCGGAUGAAGGAGUCGUACUCGUAGCGAUUCAGAUCGCGGUUGAUUCCGAUCUAAGCGCCGAACCACGGCACCUCCGCGUUCAACACACGUGCAGCCCGGUGACGUCUCCCACGCCUUGAUCCAGCAAGGAGAGAGGGAGAGGUUGGGGAAGACUCCGUCCAGCAGCAGCACAACGGCGUGGUGGUGGUGGAGGAGCGUGGCACUCCAGCAGGGCUUCGCCAAGCACCGCAAGAGACGAGGAGGGAGAGGGGUAGGGUUGCGACAUGAGGGAGAUGUUCUCGUGUGUAUGGCAGCCCCAAACCCCCACUAUAUAUAGGGGAAAGGAAGGGGCUGCGCCCCCACCUAGGUUUCCACCUCUAGGGGUGGCGGCCAGCCCUAGAUGGGACUUGGAGGGGCGGCUAAGGGGGGAGAGAGGGGGGGCACACCACUAGGUGGGCCUUAGGCCCAUCUGAGCCUAGGGUUUCCCCUUUUCCCUUCUCUCUUCGCCUUGGGCCUUGGUGGGGGGGCGCACCAGCUCACCUGGGGGUGGUCCCCUCCCACACUUGGCCCACGCAGCCCUCUGGGGCCGGUGGCCCCACCUGGUGGACCCCCGGGACCCUCCCGGUGGUCCCGGUACGUUACCGAUAGCACCCGAAACUUUUCCGGUGACCAAAACAAGACUUCCCAUAUAUAAAUCUUUACCUCCGGACCAUUCCGAAACUCCUCGUGACGUCCGGGAUCUCAUCAGGGACUCCAAUCAACAUUCGGUAACCACGUAUAUCUAUUCCCUAUAACCCUAGCGUCAUCGAACCUUAAGUGUGUAGACCCUACGGGUUCGGGAACCAUGCAGACAUGACCGAGACGUUCUCCGGCCAAUAACCAACAGCGGGAUCUGAAUACCCAUGUUGGCUCCCACAUGUUCCACGAUGAUUUCAUCGGAUGAACCACGAUGUCGGGGAUUCAAUCAAUCCCGUAUAAAAUUCCCUUUGUCAAUUGGUAUGUUACUUGCCCGAGAUUCAAUCGUCGGUAUCCCGAUACCUUGUUCAAUCUCGUUACCGGCAAGUCUCUUUACUCGUUCCGUAACACAUCAUCCCGUGAUCAUCUCCUUGGUCACAUUGUGCACAUUAUGAUGAUGUCCUACCGAGUGGGCCCAGAGAUACCUCUCCGUUUACACGGAGUGACAAAUCCCAGUCUCGAUUCGCGCCAACCCAACAGACACUUUCGGAGAUACCUGUAGUGUACCUUUAUAGCCACCCAGUUACGUUGUGACGUUUGGUACACCUAAAGCAUUCCUACGGUAUCCGGGAGUUGCACAAUCUCAUGGUCUAAGGAAAUGAUACUUGACAUUAGAAAAGCUCUUAGCAAACGAACUACACGAUCUUGUGCUAGGCUUAGGAUUGGGUCUUGUCCAUCACAUCAUUCUCCUAAUGAUGUGAUCCCGUUAUCAACGACAUCCAAUGUCCAUGGUCAGGAAACCGUAACCAUCUAUUGAUCAACGAGCUAGUCAACUAGAGGCUUACUAGGGACAUGGUGUUGUCUAUGUAUCCACACAUGUAUCUGAGUUUUUUAUCAAUACAAUUUUAGCAUGGAUAAUAAACGAUUAUCAUGAACAAGGAAAUAUAAUAAUAACCAAUUUAUUAUUGCCUCUAGGGCAUAUUUCUAACAAAACGUUCAUUCUUUAGCCUGUUCGUCCGUUUUUCUUUUUCUCGGAUUUUCCGCGAUUAUUUCUGAUCGCGAUUUCCGAUCUGUUUUUCGUUCUAGUAUAACUUUUCGCUCGUUUAUCGGAAUCAGGCGAUUCAAGCGCCUAGAGUUUCGUCUCGAAACCCUCUUUCUGUUUAACCAACUCAAACAAGUUUUUGCUACUGUAAAAUUUGACUUAGGUCCAGAUUAGUAAACGAAGCUUGUUUCUUUCGCCGUUUUACUUUCGUUGCUUCGUUUGAUUUGAUUCUUUUUGCAAACCGGAGUUCUUAAGUUGAACUUUCUGGUUAGAUAUCUUAUUUGAGUUUUACCUGUGCAUUAGAUGAGUACUUAUUGUAUGCUUGUUUGUUUGCGAUAGAGUGCCCGGAGUGCGCCGCUUGCUACUUAGAAUCCCUAGGUUUCACGGAUCAUCAGCAAGGCAAGUAACACUUUGAUCAUACCUCUUUUCAUACCCAGUUUUAUUGCAUUAGAUCAAUCCUCAAACAAUUGCAUGAUUAGGAUCUGAUUAAAUUGUGGGUUGGGAAGUAGCUGAUGAGGUAGAAUCUAUUGCCCUGUUUAUUACCAAACCCUUGGGAGUUACUUCUACGUUUGCUUAUAUUGCUAUGCUAUGCUAGUAGACGUGGAUUGGGUGAGUGUAUCCAUGACAGAUGUGAGAUUGUUAAUUAAAGGUUCAAUUUAAGGUGGCUACUUAAACACACAUCUGGGUGGAUUGAGGCACCUGGGUAUUCUAGCGAUUGCCUGUUUUUUUUAUGGACCGCCACCCAGGCUCAAAGGGAUCAUGAGAUUAUUCAUGCUAGAAACUUCCGUGUGCAGCCACAAGCUAUUAUGGGCUCUAGCAUAGUUGAUUAAGUUGUGUGAACUCUUACAGUGGUAGACUAGCAGAUGUAGGGGUUGUAGGUGGUACUGUCUACCCGAUCGUAAGGUGCAAACGCUUCUGAAAGACUAUGUCUCGGUCAUCCGUUUCUCAAACAUCAUGUAGUCCGAGAAUCUCAACGGAGGAGAUCGAGUCUUGUGGGGAAAAGUGCGCAAACCUCUGCAGAGUGUAUAAACUAAUCAUGGUUAGCCGUGUCCCCGGUUAUGGACAACUUGAGUAUCUAUUACUUGGAUUAUCAUGUGAAUCUCAUCAUGUUACUUUAAUUAAUUUUGUUGGGAUUAAUGUUGAAACUUAAUUGGGAUUGAGAUGGUGUCACCCAUUCUCAAUGUUUAACAACCACCAAGAUAGUAAAUAAAAUUUAUUCCUUUGCAGUAGGGAAAAAUUGGCUUUUCGCAAAACUGUAACCAUAGAGCUUUCCACCAGCCAAAUAUGCAUGUAGUAUAGCAUUAUUCUGUUCAUUACUCUCUAUGUGUUACAUUGCCAGCAUAUUCCAUCUGCUAACCCGUUUUCGGGCUGCAACAUUUCAUGUUGCAGACUUUUCAGACGACGAGUAAGGUGCCUUAGGUCGUGGUUCUAUACUCAGUGAUGCCGUUGGAGUUGAUGGACUCGCUUAUCUUCCAAGUCUUCCGCUGUUAUCGUUUUUAGAUGGCCUUAAGCCAUAUUUAUUGUAUUAAGUUCUCUUUUGAGACAUUCGAUGUAAUAAGUGUGUGAUUGCUACUCUGUUAUAAAUCCUUCGAGUACUGUGCAUGUCAGCAUUACUGAUUCAGGGAUGAGCCGUCUGAGGUCUGAUCGCUAGAAGAUGGUAUCAGAGCACACGCUGACUGUAGGACACGACCACUAAGCUUAAACCCUAGAUCACUAUUCUCUUCUCAUUUCUGACUCCUCUCCAUUUUUCACUCUUUUAGGAUGGCGGAUGCAAAGAACAAGUUCAUGCAACCAGAUGAAGAUACACCCUUUGGACGCCACUUGAAGGAAGUCACUAGAUACCUGAACAUCGGAAUACCUAGCUUCACCGGAACCUACAACGCCACACUACCAGAAGAGGAGCGUUGGAUGAUUCAAGUUCAAGUUCCAGGAAGGACGUUCAUGCCCGUCACCGAGCCCAUAGAGUUUUCCUUUGAUGCACCAACCUGGAGUCUAGGAAAGAGCAUGGCAGCCCACAUCACCAUGGGACGCAUUGGAGAAGUUUACCACAAGGAGCUUAAGGAUACCAUUUACCAGAUUUGUGGGCGCCGAGAUGAGCAAUGGGAGAUGAUCAGCACCAAGAAGGAUAGAUCAAUUGCAGCAUUCACCCAGGAGCAAAACCAGCACAUUCGUCGCCAGGAGAACCAAAUGUGCGCAGGCAUGGCGGAUCUGAAGAAGGCAUUGACCAAGAUCACGGAGCUGGAGGAAGAACUCAAGGCUACACGCGAGGAUUAUAUGGAGGAAAUCGUCGCACUGGUGGAGAAGAAUGACGACCUGGAAAAGAAGAUCGGAGUAUUCAUGGGAGACCCAGCACCAGGAGGAGAAGAAGAUGAUUGCGCUUGCCCGAAUAACUACAUCAUCAUCGACGACACCGACUCGGACCCCAGUGAAGAUGACUUUGUUGAUGAAGCUGGAGCAGAUAUCAUGCAGUCUUUGACCGAUCAAAAUUUCUAGUAGACCACCAUAAUCAGUAGUAGUAUUCCCCCAUGUAUAUAGUAUAGUCCGAGCACUUUGUGACGAUAGUUAGAUCGAUUGUAUGCCUUGUUUGAAUUGAUUUGAGUGAUAUUGAUUGUGUUUGUCCCAUGUGCAUAUGGGUAGUGUUUUCUCUCUAGACCUCAUUCUAUUCUAAAUUCUCAUCUUUUCUAAACCCAUCAGAUGCCUCCGAGGCGCGACACCGGAUUUGUUUUCCCACCGGAGAUCACUCAGUUGAUUCAGCAGCAGAAUGUCUUGAUGCAAGCACUAGUACAGAACCAAGGCAACAACAACAAAAACAACCCACCACCACCACCUGUUGAUCAUUUGACCCGUUUCUUGAGGCUAAAUCCGCCGGUGUAUUCCAGUAGCACCGAGCCGAUUGUUGCAGAUGAUUGGCUCCGCAAGGUUGGAAGGAAGUUGACCACUACAGGAUGCACAGAUGCGGAGAGAGUGCGUUUUGCCGCACACCAGCUUGAUGGACCCGCAGCAUCGUGGUGGGAGAAUUACACAGCCACCCACCCUAUUGACACUGUCACAUGGGACCAGUUUCAGCAAGCUUUCCGUACUGCCCAUGUUUCAGCAGGAGCUAUGGCCAUGAAGAAGCGUGAGUUUCGCAACUUACGCCAAGGAGGACGCACCGUAGGCCAGUAUGUGGAGGACUUUAGUAAGUUAGCACGUUAUGCCCCAGAUAACGUUGCUACAGAUGCAGCCAAGCAGGAGAAGUUUCUGGAAGGGCUGAAUGAUGAGCUGAGCAUGCAGUUGAUGGUAGCAACCUUCAACAACUACCAGGAGUUGGUAGAUAGAGCUCUCAUGAUUGAAGGGAAGCAGCAGCAGAUUGAAAGCCGCAAGAGGAAGUAUGGACAAGGGAAGUACAAUUCUGGAGCUCAUCAGAAGCCACAUUUUACCCCGAAUUCGGGAGGACCUUUUCAGCAUACCCAUGGAGCAGGAGGUUCGCACAACCAUAGUGGACCCAAGAAUGGGAAUGGGAAUGGAGGAAGCAACAGACAGAACCGUACCAACCCAUCAACCCCAGCUAAGAGAGAUCUGAGCCAAGUCACUUGCUACAAGUGCCGGAAGACUGGACAUUAUGCUAAUGAGUGUCCUGAAGCUAAGAAUGGAAAUGGCGAUGGAAGCUCUGGGAAGAAGCCCAACCCUUUCAACAAAGGACAUGUGAACCACGUGAAUGUGGAGGAGGUUGAAGCACAGCCCGAUGUAGUAAUAGGUAAGUUUCUGGUUAAGUCAUUUACUACAAUCGUUCUUUUUGAUACUGGUGCAUCGCAUUCAUACAUAUCAAGGGGAUUUGUGGAUAAGUUUAAGUUGCCCACCAAAGUUCUUAGAACACCUACGUUAGUAACCUCGCCAGGAGCAGAGUAUAUGGCAAGCCAAGGAUGUUUUCAGAUGCCAUUGGCCAUAGGUAGGCAUGUUUUCCCCUCAGACCUAAUAGUUUUGGAGUCGAAAGGUUUGGAUGUGAUUUUGGGAAUGGAUUGGCUAUCGAUGUAUGGAGGAAACAUCGAUUGCGCCAGUAAGACGAUCCUGCUUACUACUCCAGAAGGAAGAAGGAUUAAGUAUGUAUCCCGGCAUGUGUCGAAGAGGACUCAAGUGAAUUCCUUAUCAGGAGUUGUACAGGAGGAAGUGCCAGUGGUGAAGGAUUUCCCUGACGUAUUUCCAGAGGAGUUGCCAGGCAUGCCACCGGAUAGAGACAUUGAGUUUUUGACUGAGCUUUUACCAAGCACAGGGCCAAUAUCUAAGAGACCGUACAGGAUGCCCGCAAAGGAUUUGGAGGAGAUUAAGAAGCAGAUUAAGGAGUUGCUGGAUAAAGGCUAUAUUCGCCCAAGUUCUUCACCUUGGGGAUCGCCAGUGCUUCUAGUGGAGAAGAAGGAUGGAUCGUUAAGGAUGGUUGUUGAUUAUCGAGGACUGAAUGAAGUGACCAUCAAAAACAAGUACCCACUGCCGAUGAUCAAUGAUCUGUUUGACCGCUUACAAGGAGCUAAGGUAUUUUCCAAGAUCGAUCUGCGGUCAGGAUACCAUCAGUUGAAGAUUCGAGAGCAGGAUAUACCUAAGACGGCUUUUACCACCAGGUAUGGGUUGUACGAGUAUACUGUUAUGUCAUUUGGUCUGACUAACGCACCUGCCUAUUUCAUGAACCUGAUGAACAAGGUGUUUAUGGAGUUUUUGGAUAAGUUCGUCGUGGUGUUCAUUGAUGAUAUUUUGGUCUACUCCAAGAAUGAAGAGGAGCAUAAGGAACAUUUGCGUUUGGUACUUGAGAAGCUCAGAGAACAUCAGUUAUACGUCAAGUUCAGCAAAUGUGAGUUUUGGUUGAAGGAAGUUGGAUUCCUCGGACAUGUUAUAUCCGGAGAAUGAAUAGCAGUAGACCCCACCAAAGUUGACACUAUGACAAACUGGGAAUCACCCACAUCAGUUGGAGAGAUCCGGAGUUUUCUUGGACUUGCAGGAUACUACCGGAGAUUCAUUGAGAAUUUCUCGAGGAUUGCAAAGCCCAUGACGGAGCUGUUGAAGAAGGACACCAUGUUCAACUGGACUGAGGAAUGUGAAGCUAGUUUCCAGGAGUUGAAGAAACGUUUGGUUACAUCGCCAGUAUUGAUUCUGCCAGAUCAACGCAAGGAUUAUGAAGUAUAUUGCGACGCUUCUCAUCGAGGACUUGGAGCAGUGCUAAUACAGGAGGGAAGAGUUGUUUCAUAUGCCUCACGACAACUUAAACCCCAUGAGUUGAAUUAUGCUACACAUGAUUUGGAGCUAGCAGCCGUAGUGCAUGCGUUGAAGACAUGGAGACAUUUUCUCAUCGGAAACCAUUGUGAGGUGUACACGAAUCACAAGAGUUUGAAGUACAUUUUGACGCAGAAGGAGUUGAAUCUCAGGCAAAGGAGAUGGUUGGAGCUCAUUAAGGAUUAUGAUAUGAGAUUGCAUUAUCACCCAGGGAAGGCUAACGUAGUAGCUGAUGCGUUGAGCCGCAAGAGCCAUGUCAACACACUCAUGACUGGAGAGUUACCCAAGGAGUUAGCAGAGGAUCUUCGUGAACUAUGUUUGGAAAUAGUUCCGAGAGGCUAUGUAGCAGCAUUGGAGAUUCAGUCUACUUUGAUGGAUAAGAUCAGAGAAGCUCAGAAGACAGACAAGGAGAUUGCUGAGAUAAAGGAAAGGUUGAGUAAAGGAAAAGCCAAGGGAUUUCGUGAGGAUGAGCACGAUACCUUAUGGUUUGAGGACUGCGUUUAUGUGCCCAAUGAUCCGGAGAUUAGGAAGUUGAUUUUGCAAGAGGCCCAUGAUUCACCAUAUUUGAUUCACCCAGGAAAUACCAAGAUGUAUCUGGAUUUGAAGGACAGUUUCUGGUGGACCGGAAUGAAGAAGGAUAUUGCGGAGUAUGUAGCAGUUUGUGAUGUAUGUCAGAGAGUGAAGGCAGAGCAUCAGAAGCCAGCAGGAUUGCUACAACCAUUGCCGAUACCCGAAUGGAAGUGGGAUAAGCUAGGCAUGGAUUUUAUCACGGGAUUGCCCAGGACUCGUUCAGGCUAUGACUCGAUAUGGGUUGUAGUCGAUCGUUUGACGAAGGUAGCUCAUUUCAUCCCAGUAAAGACCACUUAUACCAGUGCUAAGUUGGCAAAGAUAUACAUGACCAGGAUCGUAUGUCUGCAUGGAGUUCCGAGGACCAUUGUAUCAGAUAGAGGAACCCAGUUUACUUCAAUAUUUUGGAAUCAGUUGCACGAAACUUUGGGUACCAGGCUAGAGUUCAGUACCGCUUUUCAUCCACAGACAGACGGACAGACCGAGAGAGUCAAUCAGAUUUUGGAGGACAUGCUGAGAGCUUGUGCGCUAGAUUAUGGAUCCAGUUGGGACGACAAUUUGCCAUAUGCAGAGUUUUCUUACAACAAUAAUUACCAAUCAAGUUUGAAGAUGGCCCCUUUCGAAGCUCUGUACGGAAGGAGGUGCAGGACACCGUUGUUGUGGGACGAAGUUGGAGACCGUCAGUUGUUUGGACCAGAUUUGAUUAAAGAGUCUGAACAGAAGGUGAAGUUGAUUCACGAUAGGCUCAAGGUAGCCCAGUCCAGGCAGAAGAGCUAUGCGGAUUCUAAACGCAAGGAGACAGUUUACGAAGUCGGAGACAGAGUUUAUCUUCGAGUAUCACCACUUCGAGGAGUGAAGCGCUUUGGAGUUAAAGGAAAGUUAGCGCCACGUUUUGUAGGACCAUACAAAGUUUUGGAGCGUAUGGGAGAAGUUGCUUACAAGUUGGAAUUGCCCGAAGGAUUGUCGGGAGUUCACGAUGUGUUCCACGUAUUCCAGUUGAAGAAGUGCCACGCGAAGAUGGCUAAGAUACCACUGAGAGAUACAGUACCCCUGGAAGCGAUUCAGUUGGAUAGUAAUUUGACCUACGAGGAGAAACCAGUUAAGAUUCUCGAAUAUGCCAGCCGAGUCACCCGCAGCAAGGUUAUCAAGUUUUGCAAAGUUCUGUGGAGUCACCAUACCGAGGAUGAAGCCACCUGGGAGCGAGAGGAAGAUCUACGGAAGGACCACUCUCACCUAUUUUCUAGCCAACCCGAAUCUCGAGGGCGAGAUUCAUCUUAAGGGGGGUAGGUUUGUAACAUCCCAAAUUUUCAAUUUGAAAUGUUAUACAUUAGAUCAUCAUGCAUAACAUAUUUUAUUGCAUUUUGUUUUGCGAUCCUAGAAAUUGUACGCAACUCGAGGACCCACGGAGAGAGUUGGGGAUUUCGUUAUUUUCAUACUUUGGGUUUUCUCAAAUUUUGAAAAUAGGAUCAUUUGUUUUAAUUAUUUUUCUCUCCGAAAAUAUUUCAUAUCAAAAUAUAUGAGAGGGGAUAAAAUGACUUCUCCACAAAUAAUGAAAUAUUGGAGGAAAAAUAUUAAAAAACAAAUAUUUGAUUUUAUUUGGAUUUUAUUUGAUUAUUAUUUGAUUUAGGAAAAAUACGCGUUUCUCAAAAUUGCAUUUAGGCCCCAAAUAAAUGUUCAUCUUGUCCGGCUUGAUUUUAGAAGUCGGGGAAAUUUUGUUUCAGGAUUUUUGGAGUCCGUUUAGUAUUUCUUUAUUUGUUUUUCUGCGCGAAAUUAUUUAAAAAAAACGCGAACCGACCUUGGGCCGUAUUCGACCAGGACUCCGCCCGACCAGGCCUUUAUAAGGCGCCGCCCCGAGCCCGUCAGCCCACCCGAGCCCCGCGCCAACCCUAACCCUAACCGCCCCCGCCGCCGCCGCCGAGCCGCCGCCGCCCGCCGUCNNNNNNNNNNNNNNNNNNNNNNNNNNNNNNNNNNNNNNNNNNNNNNNNNNNNNNNNNNNNNNNNNNNNNNNNNNNNNNNNNNNNNNNNNNNNNNNNNNNNNNNNNNNNNNNNNNNNNNNNNNNNNNNNNNNNNNNNNNNNNNNNNNNNNNNNNNNNNNNNNNNNNNNNNNNNNNNNNNNNNNNNNNNNNNNNNNNNNNNNNNNNNNNNNNNNNNNNNNNNNNNNNNNNNNNNNNNNNNNNNNNNNNNNNNNNNNNNNNNNNNNNNNNNNNNNNNNNNNNNNNNNNNNNNNNNNNNNNNNNNNNNNNNNNNNNNNNNNNNNNNNNNNNNNNNNNNNNNNNNNNNNNNNNNNNNNNNNNNNNNNNNNNNNNNNNNNNNNNNNNNNNNNNNNNNNNNNNNNNNNNNNNNNNNNNNNNNNNNNNNNNNNNNNNNNNNNNNNNNNNNNNNNNNNNNNNNNNNNNNNNNNNNNNNNNNNNNNNNNNNNNNNNNNNNNNNNNNNNNNNNNNNNNNNNNNNNNNNNNNNNNNNNNNNNNNNNNNNNNNNNNNNNNNNNNNNNNNNNNNNNNNNNNNNNNNNNNNCCCGCCGGACCCCGCCGCCCCACGCCGGAGGUAGCCGCCGCCCCCGCCGCCGGCGGUUUUCCUCGACAGAACCGUACUGUUUUUCCGCCGGUUUUUCGUUCGGUUUUGUUAAAAAUAACUAGAUCUGUUUUUUUCGGUUUCGUUUAUUUAGCGGACGUUCGUCCGUACAUUCGUUUUAACGAACGGUUUUCGUUUUUUUUCGCAGACAGCGAAUGUUCGUUCGUUAGCCUGUUCGUCCGUUUUUCCUUUUCUCGGAUUUUCCGCGAUUAUUUUUGAUCACGAUUUCCGAUCUGUUUUUCGUUCUAGUAUAACUUUUCGCUCGUUUAUCGGAAUCAGGCGAUUCAAGCGCCUAGAGUUUCGUCUCGAAACCCUCUUUCUGUUUAACCAACUCAAACAAGUUUUUGAUACUGUAAAAUUUGACUUAGGUCCAGAUUAGUAAACGAAGCUUGUUUCUUUCGCCGUUUGACUUUCGUUGCUUCGUUUGAUUUGAUUCUUUUUGCAACCGGAGUUCUUAAGUUGAACUUUCUGGUUAGAUUUAUUAUUUGAGUUUUACCUGUGCAUUAGACGAGUACUUAUUGUAUGCUUGUUUGUUUGCGAUAGAGUACCCGGAGUGCGCCGCUUGCUACUUCGAAUCCCUAGGUUUCACGGAUCAUCAGCAAGGCAAGUAACACUUUGAUCAUACCUCUUUUCAUACCCAGUUUUAUUGCAUUAGAUCAAUCCUCAAACAAUUGCAUGAUUAGGAUCUGAUUAAAUUGUGGGUUGGGAAGUAGCUGAUGAGGUAGAAUCUAUUGCCCUGUUUAUUACCAAACCCUUGGGAGUUACUUCUACGUUUGCUUAUAUUGCUAUGCUAUGCUAGUAGACGUGGAUUGGGUGAGUGUAUCCAUGAUAGAUGUGAGAUUGUUAAUUAAAGGUUCAAUUUAAGGUGGCUACUUAAACACACAUCUGGGUGGAUUGAGGCGCCUGGGUAUUCUAGCGAUUGCCUGUUUUUUUAUGGACCGCCACCCAGGCUCAAAGGGAUCAUGAGAUUAUUCAUGCUAGAAACUUCCGUGUGCAGCCACAAGCUAUUAUGGGCUCUAGCAUAGUUGAUUAAGUUGUGUGAACUCUUACAGUGGUAGACUAGCAGAUGUAGGGGUUGUAGGUGGUACUGUCUACCCGAUUGUAAGGUGCAAACGCUUCUGAAAGACUAUGUCUCGGUCAUCCGUUUCUCAAACAUCAUGUAGUGCGAGAAUCCCAACGGAGGAGAUCGAGUCUUGUGGGAAAAAGUGCGCAAACCUCUACAGAGUGUAUAAACUAAUCAUGGUUAGCCGUGUCCCCGGUUAUGGACAACUUGAGUAUCUAGUACUUGGAUUAUCAUAUGAAUCUCAUCAUGUUACUUUAAUUAAUUUUGUUGGGAUUAAUGUUGAAACUUAAUUGGGAUUGAGAUGGUGUCACCCAUUCUCAAUGUUUAACAACCACCAAGAUAGUAAAUAAAAUUUAUUCCUUUGCAGUAGGGAAAAAUUGGCUUUUCGCAAAACUGUAACCAUAGAGCUUUCCACCAGCCAAAUAUGCAUGUAGUAUAGCAUUAUUCUAUUCAUUACUCUCUAUGUGUUACAUUGCCAGCAUAUUCCAUGUGCUGACCCGUUUUCGGGCUGCAACGUUUCAUGUUGCAGACUUUUCAGACGACGAGUAAGGUGCCUUAGGUCGUGGUUCUAUACUCAGUGAUGCCGUUGGAGUUGAUGGACUCGCUUAUCUUCCAAGUCUUCCGCUGUUAUCGUUUUUAGAUGGCCUUAAGCCAUAUUUAUUGUAUUAAGUUCUCUUUUGAGACAUUCGAUGUAAUAAGUGUGUGAUUGCUACUCUGUUAUAAAUCCUUCGAGUACUGUGCGUGUCAGCAUUAUUUAUCCAGGGAUGACACUGAUGCACAGAGACUUGACCGUCUGAGGUCUGGUCGCUACAAUUUUCUUGAUUGGGCUCAUGAAGUUAAUGGAAACUACUCUGUCAAAUCUGCGUACCGUGCUCUCGUGACUCGCAAAGAGUGUGCAGCUCUAGAGGAAGGGGCGGCUACGAGCACCUCACAGACGGAAGGACAGAUGUGGAAGCGACUAUGGAGGCUUAAGGUGUUGCCUAAAGUGCGCGUAUUCUGGUGGCGAGUUGUUAGAAAGAUUCUGCCAGAUGAAUGCACUCUUCGGCAUAGACAUAUACAACCACUUUUUUUAGAAAAGGAGGAUGACCCCCGGCCUCUGCAUCUGGGAGAUGCAUGCGGCCACUUUAUUGAUUAUUCUCAAGGACCUUACAAAGUAUUACAACAAUAUGCCUGAAUCCGCCAUCUUGGCUACAUAUGCCACUACUCGUAUCCAUAUGAUGAAGGGUGCUAGCUGGGCCAAAUACCCAGACCACUCACCUAAGCAUAUCAUCAAAAGCCAGAAGCCCCAGCCGAGCCACAUACCGGGUCUAGGGCAUAAACUGGUCUGACGCACUCACAAGUGUCGUCGCCGCCAUCUUCCACAUGUCCGUCUUCAGACCAGAUAUUGAGGCUUUUACCUUGUCAGGCCACUCUGCCAUCGACGCCACCAUGACGCCGGACAACUACCUCCUCCUGCGUGAGUCCACCAUCGCGCAUCGGGCGCCGAGUCUCCACUGCGCCACGCCGCCGAGAUCCGCCGUCAUCAAUGUGUAGGAUGAAGCACCGCCCCACCAAAAAAUACGCCCACUGGUCACUCGAUCCCGUGUACGCCUCCAAGAAUGACGCCCCCAAGGAGGAAACGACACCAAUGUGCCGCCGUCAUCCGAUCUACUGAUCUAGGAUUUCCCCCGGAGGUAGCGGAUAGAGGUCUGGAGCUUCGCCACGGCGAUGCCUUCAAGAAGGUAAUGACACAAAAGAGUGCCGCCAAGGCCGGUCUUGGCAUCAAGCCGAGAACGAGGUUUUCACCCGGAUCCGCUCGAAGAACCUCCAUCAAGCAUCGUGUGCACAGGGCGCCGCCGAUCUGAGCCGCCACACAUCGAGCAAGCCGCACCGGCCAGAUCAGAUCUGUCCGGAGGGAAAACCACGCAUGGCGACGACCCAACCCCCAGGCUCUCCAUGCCGCCACCGCUGAUCCGAGGUCAGAUGGUCCAUCGCCGCAGACCCGGCCGCCGCCGCCGAACGAAGCCAAGGCCGCUGCCCGACGCAGGGCCGGCCGCCGCACCCGCCACCAUCGCCUCCCUAGGCCGAGGCCGCCGCCGGUCAAGGCAGGCCCGCCACGCCACCAAGGCCAGAUCGGCCGUGCCACCACACGCCGCAGGGCUCCGCACCGCCCCCAUGGCGCAGGAGAGAGGAAAGGCCCCCGCCACCGCCGUCAGCCCCCGAGCUAUAGGCCGGCGGCGUCCUUCGGCGACGGCGGAUGGAGGGACAGAAGGAAGGGGAGCCCCCAGCGGCUAGGGUUGGGAUCCCGCCCGAGUCGCCCGAGCGGGGGCGACGCGGGGGGAGCGGGGCGAGAUGGAAUCCGUCCCCGUUUUGACAUAUACAACCACUUAGUAGAUGCAAAGUGUGUUUGGCAAUGGAUGAGGAUUUGAUGCACGCCUUAGUGCAUUGCACUCAUGCGAAGAUGUUCUGGGAAGAAGCUUAUGCCUGGUUGGGUGUGAGUCGGCCACGGCUACACCCGGACACGUGGGCUCGUGACAUUCUGUCUGACCCACAGUUCACGGACACUCAGAGGGCGCAGAUGAUUUCCGUUAUGUGGGCGAUCUGGCAUUCUAGAAACAGAAUUACGCACGACGGUGAGAAACUGGGCCCGUUGACAACUGUUCGGCGGAUUAAGGAAGACAUGUCCGUCUUGGAAAUACCGAGUUCUGCUGCUGCUAUCUUACCGGGGUACAGACGGGUGCCUCCGGAACCGGGGGUGGUAAAAAUCAAUACAGAUGCAGCAAUGCGUUCGGUCUUGGCUCAGUGUGGUGCAGGAGGAGUUGCUCGUUCUGACACUCGUUUGCUGGGAGCUUGGAGCAAACCCCAUCACGGGGUUACGGAUCCGUUCUUUGGUGAGACGAUGGCGCUAAGAGAUGGAGUUAUCUUUGCAAGACUGCGCGGGUUCUCACAUGUGAUUGUGGAGACAGACUGCCUGGAGGUAGUGAACCUCUGGAAAUCUCGCCAUAAUAGUCGCUCUGUUGUGGCAUCUUUAUUUGUAGAAAUUGGUGAGCUAGCUGCCAACUUUACUUUUUUUUGUAUUCAACAUGUAAACAGGUCAGCCAAUCUACCGGCCCAUCUUUGUGCUAAACAUGCAUGUUCACUGAUGGCAAUCGAGAGUUGGACUGACACUAGACCUUCCUUCCUGCUCACUAGCCUGUUGGCUGAUGAUGCUAGGAGUGCCUCAGUUGAAUAAAGCUCGCAAGUUUGAACGCAAAAAAAAAAAAUCGUCAUUGGCUUGUGUUGGGACGUAUACGUACGAACGUGGCCCGGUCGCGUGGUGCACAGGCGCGUCGGAGCCAUGCAUGGAUGCUCCCUCGGGGAGAUCGGUUAUAAUAACACC